rnacentral:ribozyme from 1 species
AAUACUUAUUUUGAGAAUAAUAAAAAAUUGAUUUAUCUUUUGUAUGCAAGAAUUUCAAGUCAAUAGAAAAGAUGGUUUAUUUUUUUAA